UUUGGUGUAGUUUAGUGACAGAGCACUUGCAUAGCAUGCAUGAGGUCCUGUCUGGGUUCAAUUCCUAGCACCACAG
rnacentral:tRNA from 1 species